AUCCAGCAGACGAGUCUCAAGUCGGAUGAAAUGCGCGUCCUGGAU
rfam:Schistosoma curassoni strain Dakar, Senegal genome assembly, scaffold: SCTD_scaffold0004267